AUUGAACGCUGGCGGCAGGCCUAACACAUGCAAGUCGAACGGUAACAGGAAGAAGCUUGCUUCUUUGCUGACGAGUGGCGGACGGGUGAGUAAUGUCUGGGAAACUGCCUGAUGGAGGGGGAUAACUACUGGAAACGGUAGCUAAUACCGCAUAACGUCGCAAGACCAAAGAGGGGGACCUUCGGGCCUCUUGCCAUCGGAUGUGCCCAGAUGGGAUUAGCUAGUAGGUGGGGUAACGGCUCACCUAGGCGACGAUCCCUAGCUGGUCUGAGAGGAUGACCAGCCACACUGGAACUGAGACACGGUCCAGACUCCUACGGGAGGCAGCAGUGGGGAAUAUUGCACAAUGGGCGCAAGCCUGAUGCAGCCAUGCCGCGUGUAUGAAGAAGGCCUUCGGGUUGUAAAGUACUUUCAGCGGGGAGGAAGGGAGUAAAGUUAAUACCUUUACUCAUUGACGUUACCCGCAGAAGAAGCACCGACUAACUCCGUG
rnacentral:rRNA from 1 species